rnacentral:rRNA from 1 species
GGAAUAUUGGUCAAUGGACGAAAGUCUGAACCAGCCAUGCCGCGUGAAGGAUUAAGGCCCUCUGGGUUGUAAACUUCUUUUAUCUGGGACGAAAAAAGGGUAUUCUUACUCACUUGACGGUACCAGAGGAAUAAGCACCGGCUAACUCCGUGCCAGCAGCCGCGGUAAUACGGAGGGUGCAAGCGUUAUCCGGAUUUACUGGGUUUAAAGGGUGCGUAGGUGGAUUUGUAAGUCAGUGGUGAAAUCUCCGAGCUUAACUCGGAAACUGCCAUUGAUACUAUAAGUCUUGAAUUAUCUGGAGGUAAGCGGAAUAUGUCAUGUAGCGGUGAAAUGCUUAGAUAUGACAUAGAACACCAAUUGCGAAGGCAGCUUACUACGGAUAUAUUGACACUGAGGCACGAAAGCGUGGGGAUCAAACAGGAUUAGAUACCCUGGUAGUCCACGCCCUAAACGAUGGAUACUCGACAUCAGCGAUACACUGUUGGUGUCUGAGCGAAAGCAUUAAGUAUCCCACCUGGGAAGUACGAUCGCAAGAUUGAAACUCAAAGGAAUUGACGG